GUGAAUUAAACAUGCCUGGUGUCUUCGCUUCGGCAAGGCCCUUGCUUAAAUCACAUCCUAACACCUGUGAACUUGUAAGACGUAUGAUGAGGUCUUUGGCCAAGUCAUCGUCUGCCCAUUUUUAACAAACAAUUAAUGUAACAACGUAGUCUUAUUAUAACCUACUA
rnacentral:misc_RNA from 1 species